CUCAGGACGAACGCUGGCGGCGUGCUUAACACAUGCAAGUCGAACGAGAAUCUGUGGAAAGAGGAUUCGUCCAAUUGAAGCAGAGGACAGUGGCGGACGGGUGAGUAACGCGUGAGGAACCUGCCUUUCAGAGGGGGACAACAGUUGGAAACGACUGCUAAUACCGCAUAACAUAUAGAUGUCGCAUGGCAUUUAUAUCAAAGAUUUAUCGCUGAAAGAUGGCCUCGCGUCUGAUUAGCUAGUUGGUGAGGUAACGGCCCACCAAGGCGACGAUCAGUAGCCGGACUGAGAGGUUGAACGGCCACAUUGGGACUGAGAUACGGCCCAGACUCCUACGGGAGGCAGCAGUGGGGAAUAUUGGGCAAUGGGCGCAAGCCUGACCCAGCAACGCCGCGUGAAGGAAGAAGGCUUUCGGGUUGUAAACUUCUUUUGUCAGGGACGAGUAGAAGACGGUACCUGACGAAUAAGCCACGGCUAACUACGUG
rnacentral:rRNA from 1 species